UACGUAGGGGGCAAGCGUUGUCCGGAAUCAUUGGGCGUAAAGAGCGUGUAGGCGGCCAGAUAAGUCCGCUGUGAAAUCUCGAGGCUCAACUUCGAGCUGUCGGUGGAAACUGUCUGGCUAGAGUCCGGAAGAGGAGAAUGGAAUUCCUGGUGUAGCGGUGAAAUGCGCAGAUAUCAGGAAGAACACCCGUGGCGAAGGCGGUUCUCUGGGACGGUAUUGACGCUGAGACGCGAAAGCGUGGGGAGCAAACAGG
rnacentral:rRNA from 1 species